GACAGAGGGUGCGAACGUUGUUCGGAAUUACUGGGCGUAAAGCGCGUGUAGGCGGCAGCGCAAGUCGGGCGUGAAAUCCCACGGCUCAACCGUGGAAGUGCACUCGAAACUGCGCAGCUAGAGUCCUGGAGAGGAAGGUGGAAUGCUUGGUGGUAGAGGUGAAAUUCGGUAGAUAUCUGGAGGAACACCGGUGGCGAAGGCGACGUCCUGGACCGACAGUUGACGCUGAGGCGCAAAGCCAGGGGAGCAAAGCGGG
rnacentral:rRNA from 1 species